CGGAACUGAAGUUGAGCUUUUUAGAAGAGCUGUAUUUGUAUGACAAUCUCUUCGAUACAAGCGUAUUUGCAUCACUUAAUGGGUUUCCAAAUCUGACAUAUUUGGACAUAAGUAACAAUGAGUUGAAAGGGUCAUUAGAUAUGAAAGAUUUGGAUGCAUUUACGAGCUUAAAGGAACUAUAUAUGAGGAGAAAUCAAUUGGAAAAUUUUGUGAUCCACAAAGGAUGGUGUGAUCUAAAGAAUCUAGAAGUGUUGGAUCUGAGUUGGAAUGCAUCAAGGGAAUGUUCCCACAUUGUUUGGGUAACUUGACAUCUCUCCGUGAGUUAGAUAUCUCCAACAAUCAAUUUUCUGGAAAUCUCUCUCCUUUACAAACCUUAACUCACUUACAUACAUCUCUCUCAAAAAACCGUCUUCAAAUUCCAACAUCAUUUGUACCACUUGUAAACCUUCCAAACCUCAAGUUCCUCUAUGGUGAUGAAAACAACAUGGUAAUGGAACCUUCAUUGCAUACCUCAAUCCCAAAGUUCCA